rnacentral:lncRNA from 1 species
GCUGAGCACCGUGGGUCGGCGAGGGCCCGCCAAGGAAGGAGCGACCGACCGAGCCAGGCGCCCUCCGCAGACCUCCGCGCAGCGGCCGCGGGCGCGAGGGGAGGGGUCUGGAGCUCCCUCCGGCUGCCUGUCCCGCACCGGAGCCCGUGGGGUGGGGAGGUGUGCAGCCUGUGACAGACAGGGGCUUAGAGAUGCAAACAGACUCAGGGAGAGAAACAGAAGCUGAUUCUGUGACAGAAGCAGAUCUGUGCAGCACAGAUGCGGUGUGCGUGGGGAGGGGGUCGCCUGGGAGCGCAUUGCGGAGUGCUUGUGUGUGCAGAUUUUUCUCUGGGCUCAGGACUCAUUGUAUGUGGGUCAACACCUUCCUCCGUGACUGUGUUUUUGUUCUGAGCUGAGUUUUUUGGUUUGCCCUUAAAAAAAUAAUAAUUUGGCAUCCAGAGACUGGCAGACUGCCUCAGGGCCUGGACUGCGGAUAUAUUGUGUUCUGCUUGAGGUUUGGGGAGGAGGGCAGGCGGUAGGAAGGGAGAGGGGGAGCUGUUUGUCACACUUUGCUGUAGAGCUGAGAGCACCUGACAAGCUUAAGGAAGUCGUUGGGCUAUGUGGACAAGAAGGAGCCAGCUCCCAGCGGGUUCACAAGCUCUAUCGGAGUUGAAAGCGUGGUCAUGGCUCUAAGGAGCACCUCACGCCCUCCCUGUAGCUGUUAUUGCAGUUUCAGGCAGAGAUCCAGGAGCUGCAGAGGAAGGGAGAGGCACAAUAACCUACAUGGACCCAAGGGAGACAUGUGUUCCUUUAAAAAUGUGAACAGAAGGAAAAACAGAAUGUGUGCAACUGGGGGUCUGAGGAAAGACUGUUUUGAAAGAGGCUGUCAGGGAAUGGAAAGGGUUAAGCUUUUCAUCCUGAAGAACCUGCUUCCCAAAUCAGGCCUUCCUCCCAUCACUAGACCCUGAGCAGCAGCUGGUCCUAGAGACCCCCCUCGUACUGCGCUGCCACAGUCUCAUCCCAUUUCCAGCUCUGUAUUAACCACCAAGCUGCAGCGGAUGGGGCAAGACCUAAGCUCAUUAAUUUCCAGGUGGAGGAAAUGGAGGAGGGGCAGGUCCCUGCAGUAGAGGGAGGAGCAGAGAAAGGAGGCCAAGAGCUGGAUCCUUCUGCCCAGGAAGCCUGCUGCAUCCCUUCCCCCGAGCAUGGCAGAGGCCUGGCUUUGCAAGGCCAAGGCCAUAAGGGAUGCUUAGGAGAUUAAUUUGAUUCCUGACACAAUAAUCAAGCCCUAAGAGUCUCCACUGAAGCUUACUGAGGACUUCUUUCCUCUCCAAAGCCUCAGUCUAGCCUGCUAAAUAAAUUAGUAUUCAGUGAUGCCUUGGAUCAGGGCCCCUCCCCGGCCUCAGUUUCCCCAAAUAUUUAUUAAGUACCUACUGUGUGCAAUCCUUGUGUAAUUAUUAACUCUUAGGCUCUUCAUUUGCCCUCCUAAAGCAGUGUUUAGAGUCAGGCAGAGGUUAAGUGUGUUGCACCUCACCUAGAUACUUCCAGAACCUUCUCUGGGUCUGCAGAAUGUGGCACAACCUGCUUGCCCCCGCAGAGAGAAAGCUGCAGUGCACAUCCUGCAGACUGCAGGUGCUGGGCUGCCUCUGGAGUCCCAGAAGGCAAGCUUGGCUGCAGGACAGAAAGGGAGAACAGCUUCUCUCACCCCUGAGCCUUCACAAGCCCUUGUCUAUUUGCCGUUGCCUUCAAAAUAUACCUCCCCCGAAACCAGUAGCUUUCUGAGUCCUGGUGUCCCCUCCGCCCUUUCUGGACAGGUUUGGGAAGAAGAAAGCAGUCAGUGCUGGGCCUUAUUGGGGUGUGAAGCGCCUUGCUCUGCCCCUUCUGCUCACUGUGAAGGCCGCUGGAUGCUUCUCUUAGGCAUGGUUUAAGCCUCCGAUUACUAAACCCCUUGCCCCACAAACGUCCACAUUGACGAGCCUCUUUUUAGUAACUGCUUCCCCGUAAUUCCUUCAGAGGUUGCUGUACCCUUCGCUGAUGUGCUGCCCUCCUGUAAAACCUCCAGAUGCCUUCCCACGUAAUGCCCCUUUCAGAUGCUUUAAGCUGAGAGCUUAAACCACAGGUACCAUGGCUGACGCCUGCCAGGUUUCUGCUGCAGAUAAUCUAUGAUGGGAGGGGCAUAUUUUUUACUUCAUUACUUAUGUAAACUCUUGUUCCAGAAAGCUUUAAUGUGUGUGGGAGUGUUCUGGGUCUAUUAGGUCUGUGCGCAUGGGUGUGGGCAUUUGCCUGUGUCCACCGGGUGGGUCUCAUUAUGAAAUGUAUGUUUAUGUAGGGCUUUAAUGGCUGAAAAUGGCAAAGAGAUGAAUAGACCACUUGGCCCCAUGUGUAAUUGCCAGGCCCCUUCUGUGCUCAAAUGAGGUGUCCGAGUGAAGGUCAGCCCUUCCCUUCUGUAUUUGGGGCCUAUUUAUGCCACCAGUAAUUUUAUAAGAAAUCUGAAUAGUUCUCCCCUUUGAGUGCAUUUAACUCUUUAGUAUCUUCUCUCUUACCUAUUUGAGCCCCUCUAGCUACAGUCUGGCUUAAAUGAAAGGGGAAUUAUAUGCUUAAGAAAAAGUAGGACACGGUUGAGGCAGUUUGCUGACUGAAUACGCGAAGAAGGACCUGAUGGGCUCAUAUGCACCACUGCCAUCACAGUCCCCAUCGUGAUGCAAGCUUAUAUGAUUCUUGAGGUAACUCUACCAGAUACUUCCAGAUUUAGAAAUGUGUCAAAGGAAAAAUUGGUGAUACUCUUCUUUCCCCUGCCAGAAACAGCCCAGAUCUCCUCUUAAGCGGAAAAGAGAUUGACCUUCUAGCAGAGGCAAAGAAUGGAGUCUUCUGGGGGCAGCUGCAAAGCGUUCUCCCUAGGACAGAUGGAGCCUCCCUUUCCUCAUCUACUCUGUGGGUGGUUUCAGGGCCCACGAGUCAACAUGAGGAGUUGUGCUGGUGGUAUGUGUGUUGGAGGCUGGGCUGGCUGAUUCACAGUGACGAGGAUGUCAAUAAUAACAAGAAUGAGAAUGAUGGUACCUAAUAAAGACUUUUUUUCCCAAGUCCCAUCUACAAUUCUUUCAUUGGGUGUUUUGCCAAGUCUUUCUCAAUCUCAUCUCAGCUUUUUUUUUUUUUUUAAA